rnacentral:rRNA from 1 species
AACGAACGCUGGCGGCAUGCCUAACACAUGCAAGUCGAACGAGACCUUCGGGUCUAGUGGCGCACGGGUGCGUAACGCGUGGGAACCUGCCCUUAGGUUCGGAAUAACUCCCCGAAAGGGGUGCUAAUACCGGAUAAUGUCUUCGGACCAAAGAUUUAUCGCCUUUGGAUGGGCCCGCGUUGGAUUAGCUAGUUGGUAGGGUAAAAGCCUACCAAGGCGACGAUCCAUAGCUGGUCUGAGAGGAUGAUCAGCCACACUGGGACUGAGACACGGCCCAGACUCCUACGGGAGGCAGCAGUGGGGAAUAUUGGAAAAUGGGCGAAAGCAUGAUCCAACAAUGCCGCGUGAGUGAUGAAGGCCUUAGGGUUGUAAAGCUCUUUUACCCGGGAUGAUAAUGACAGUACCGGGAGAAUAAGCUCCGGCUAACUCCGUG